UCCUCAAAAGGUUAGGAUGAGGCUAGGCAU
rnacentral:piRNA from 1 species